UACGUAGGGUGCGAGCGUUGUCCGGAAUUAUUGGGCGUAAAGAGCUCGUAGGCGGCCUGUCGCGUCGGUUGUGAAAGCCCGGGGCUUAACCCCGGGUCUGCAGUCGAUACGGGCAGGCUAGAGUUCGGUAGGGGAGAUCGGAAUUCCUGGUGGUAGCGGUGAAAUGACGCAGAGUAUCAGGAGGAACACCGGUGGCGAAGGCGGUUCUCUGGGCAUUACCUGACGCUGAGGAGCGAAAGUGUGGGGAGCGAACAGG
rnacentral:rRNA from 1 species